GUAUCAUAGAGUCCAACUGGAGCUGGUAGAUCACACAGUUAUAACUUCAGAUACCUGUCCUGAUCUCAGGUGUUUCAUGUCAAAUUACAUUAACACAGUUAUAACUUCAGAUACCUGUCCUGAUUUCAGGUGUUUCAUGCCAAAUUACAUUAAUAGUGUUAUAACUACAGAUACCUGUCCUGAUCUCAGGUGUUUCAUGUCAAAUUACAUUAAUAAGCAAUGUAAGAAGAGAAUAGGUAGCAGAGGGUAACAAUUUACAGUGAGCAAUACAUUUAUUUAUUCAUGCAGUGCCUGUCCCAUAAUGUUCUGUUUUUCUUUCCUUUUUAAUUUUAAUUGUAUUUUAAAGGUCUGAUGACAGUCACAAAAACAGAAAUUGACACCACGAUGUCUUUGGAAAGUAGAAGACUAUUCAGAACAUGUUCCACUCUCUGUGAAAAGAAGGGUGAUAUAUGCUUGUCAGCAUGGAAAGAACUACAAGAAAACAACCACAACAGAUGAUUUGGACAUGGCAUCAGAGGUGCAGGAUAUUCUGGCACUACAAGACCCAAACCUGGUGAUCAGCAAAGCCUUCAAACUGUGUAUUAUACAGGGUGACUUGGCCACACUGAAGGAGGGUUGCUGGCUUAAUGACAAGGUUAUCAACUUCUAUUUGUCCUUGCUAAUGAAAAGAAACAGUGAUCAGCUGGGAGCCUUAAAGUCUUCUCUUACAGCACUUUUUUCUACCCAAAGCUUCAGAGUGGUGAAGGCCAUGCAGCAGUGAAGAACUGGACAAAAACUCAGGACCUCUUUGUCUGAUCUUGUUUUUGUUCCUUUGCACCUAGGCAUGCAUUGUGCUUUGGCUGUAAGUCAUAUAUAAGUUGGGAUGCAUUGUUUUAAUAUUUAUGUUUUUGAAAGUGUAAAACAAUUUUUUUUUUAUUUUCAGUUUGUCUUUAACUUGCCUAUAUUGCUUCUAACCACCAGGGAAUUUAUUUUAAAUCCCAGACCAUACAGUGCUAUGACUCAGAGACAUGAUGAUAUCUGUCAUGUUGUGAGUGUCUUCUUAUUUUUGCUGUUAUAUUAACCUUUGUUCUAUGUUUAUGUUCUGUAAUGCUGCUUUGAGACAAUGUCAAUUGUAAAAAGCUCUAUACAAAUAAACCUGAA